CUGACACCUCCCGUGCCAAGUUUCCAGGGGAAACAACAUUCUACUGUGAGAUUAUAAACCACUAGAGAAAAGACGAGAAUGGAAAAGCCGCCGAGAAUUAGCUCUACAUGCCCAGAACUGGGCUGCUAAGAGAUGUGAAGCCACGAGACGUUUGGUAAUUUUCUAGAGCAGUGCUAUCCAAGAUAGUAGCUAUUAUGGCCCCUUGUGGCUACUGAUGUGUAAAUUAGUUAAAAUUAAAUAAAGCUUAAAGUUUA